CCAGACUCCUACGGGAGGCAGCAGUGGGGGAUAUUGCACACUGGAGGAAACUCUUCUGCAGCGACUCCGCUUGAGGGAAGACGGUCUUCGGAUUGUCCCCCUCUGUCUUUUUUUAAGAAAAUGCCGGUACCCAAAUCUUCCUCUCCGGCUCCCUCCGUGCCAGCCUCCUCGGUAAUACUUCUUUAGCGAGCUUUUUCCGGAAUUACUGGGUUUAAAGGGAGCGUAGGCGGGCGAGAAAGUUGAAUGUUAAAUCUACCGGCUUAACUGGUAGCUGCGUUCAAAACUUCUUGUCUUGAGUGAAGUAGAGGCAGGCGGAAUGCCUAGUGUAGCGGUGAAAUGCGUAGAGAGGAGGAGGAACACCAGUGGCGAAGGCGGCCUGCUGGGCUUUAACUGACGCUGAGGCUCGAAAGCGUGGGGAGCAAACAGGAUUAGAUACCCUUGUA
rnacentral:rRNA from 1 species